rnacentral:rRNA from 1 species
GAUGAACGCUGGCGGCGUGCCUAACACAUGCAAGUCGAGCGGAAAGGCCCUUCGCGGUACUCGAGCGGCGAACGGGCGAGUAACACGUGCGUAACCUGCUCCAGACUUUGGGAUAAUCCUCGGAAACGGGGGCUACUACCGGCUACGACACAGCUCCGCAUGGGGUCUGUGUGGACAGUUUCUCGGUAUGGGAUGGGCUCGCGGCCUAUCAGCUCGAUGGUGGGGUGAUGGCCUACCAAGGCGACGCCGGAUAGCCGGCCUGAGAGGGCGACCGGCGACAAUGCGACUGAGGGACGGAGCAGACUGCUACGGGAGGCAGCAGUGGAGAGUAUUACACAGUGAGGGGGAGCGUGAUACAGCGGCGCCGGGUUAGGGAAGACGGCCUUCGGGUUGUAAACCUCUGUCAGCAGAGACGAGGCGUAAGUGACGGUACCUGCAGAAGAAGCGCCGGCUAACUACGUG